AUGCCAAGGGGUGUAUUUCAUGGUGAUUGGUGAGUUCUGAGAAUUGCCCAUUGUAAAAGUGUGUUCAAAUGUAUUUGAAUUCCAAGUUUUGCCUUAUAAGGAAUAUGACAUCAUCUCAGUGUACAGGUAUGGCUUCAGGUUCAAAUUUCAUCACCACUGGGAGAAAGUUUUUGGCUAGUCCAGCUGAUGCCCAAUGUGGUACCUGAACAUCUGAAACAGGGACCAUUCUGGAUGUAUUAAUGGAGAAGGGAGUAGCUUAUCACCUGGAGCAGGCUGAUGCGUGACUUUCAUCAGCUGGUACUGAUCCCCAUUGGUGUGCAGCCUCAUCUGUCCUGCAUCAUUUGGCAAUCCACAUGGGAUGGAAAUGGUGAAGUUGCCUCUCUUGUCUCUGGAGUCUGGGAUGUUGGAGGACAUUGCUUCCCCUUAGCACACCACAGAGGC
rnacentral:lncRNA from 1 species